rnacentral:rRNA from 1 species
GACGUCAAGUCAUCAUGGCCUUUAUGUCCAGGGCUACACACGUGCUACAAUGGCGCAUACAGAGGGCAGCGAAGCCGUGAGGUGGAGCGAAUCUUGUCAAAGUGCGCCUCAAUUCGGAUUGCAGUCUGCAACUCGACUGCAUGAAGUUGGAAUCGCUAGUAAUCGCGGAUCAGCAAAGCCGCGGUGAAUACGUUCCCGGGCCUU